GCCAGCCGCCGAAGGUGGGACAGAUAAUUGGGGUGAAGUCGUAACAAGGUAGCCGUAUCGGAAGGUGCGGCUGGAUCACCUCCUUUCUAAGGAA
rnacentral:rRNA from 1 species